rnacentral:rRNA from 1 species
UGGGGCUGUAGUCGGUCCCAAGGGUAUGGCUGUUCGCCAUUUAAAGUGGUACGCGAGCUGGGUUCAGAACGUCGUGAGACAGUUCGGUCCCUAUCUGCCAUGGGCGUUGGAGAUUUGAGAGGGGCUGCUCCUAGUACGAGAGGACCGGAGUGGACGAACCUCUGGUGUUCCGGUUGUCACGCCAGUGGCAUUGCCGGGUAGCUAUGUUCGGAAGCGAUAACCGCUGAAAGCAUCUAAGCGGGAAGCGCGCCUCAAGAUGAGAUCUCCCGGGGCACAAGCCCCCUGAAGGAACCAUAUAGACUAUGUGGUUGAUAGGUCAGGUGUGUAAGUACAGCAAUGUAUUGAGCUAACUGAUACUAAUGAUCCGUGUGGCUUGACCAUAU